GAUGAACGCUAGCUACAGGCUUAACACAUGCAAGUCGAGGGGAAACGAUAUUGGAAGCUUGCUUCCGAUAGGCGUCGACCGGCGCACGGGUGAGUAACGCGUAUCCAACCUGCCCACCACUUGGGGAUAACCUUGCGAAAGUAAGACUAAUACCCAGUGAUAUCUCUAGAAGACAUCUGAAGGAGAUUAAAGAUUCAUCGGUGAUGGAGGGGGAUGCGUCUGAUUAGCUUGUUGGCGGGGUAACGGCCCACCAAGGCCACGAUCAGUAGGGGUUCUGAGAGGAAGGUCCCCCACAUUGGAACUGAGACACGGUCCAAACUCCUACGGGAGGCAGCAGUGAGGAAUAUUGGUCAAUGGGCGAGAGCCUGAACCAGCCAAGUAGCGUGCAGGAUGACGGCCCUAUGGGUUGUAAACUGCUUUUAUAAGGGAAUAAAGUGAGUCUCGUGAGACUUUUUGCAUGUACCUUAUGAAUAAGGACCGGCUAAUUCCGUGCCAGCCGCCGCCGUAA
rnacentral:rRNA from 1 species